UCUUUUUCCUCACCCUCGUAAGACUACCCGCUGAACUUAAGCAUAUCAAUAAGCGGAGGAAAAGAAACCAACAGGGAUUGCCUCAGUAACGGCGAGUGAAGCGGCAAAAGCUCAAAUUUGAAAUCCCCCGGGAAUUGUAAUUUGAAGAGAUUUGGGUCCGGCCGGCAGGGGUUAAGUCCACUGGAAAGUGGCGCCACAGAGGGUGACAGCCCCGUGAACCCCUUCAACGCCUUCAUCCCAGAUCUCCAAGAGUCGAGUUGUUUGGGA
rnacentral:rRNA from 1 species